AAAAUUAUAUACAUUAUAAAUAUAUCAGGGCUGGAGUCAAGACCACCUUUGUCGGUCAAAGACAAGUCCAAGACCAGGACUAGUCGAGACCAAGUCAAGACCGAGUCCAAGAGGUUCGAGUCCAAGACAAACCGAGUCCAGGACAGAAAAAAAAUUUGGCGUUGACCCACAGGUUUCCGAAAUUAUUGCUUUGCAGAAUUUGCAGUCUGCCCUGUGUUUCUUUUUAAGCGCAGUGCUGAGAAAUUCCUGGUGAUUUCUAUAACCAAAUUUGAUUAUGGCAGAAUUGGUGGACAUCUUCGUUUGUUACAGUGUGUGUUAAUCAAUGAAAAUGAGUGGCAGUAACGUUAGCAGGGCACACAGAUGCAGGGCGUGCUGUGCGAAGAUAAUCUAGUGUGUGAUUGGUUAUCAGGUGGCCAGUAUUUCACUUUCCCUCCAAUAUUAUUAUAAACAUAAUAAAGACACCUGGACUCGGUUCAAGACCAAAAGUCAUAUUUGGCAAGACCAGCGGCAGAGACUGAGACAAGUCCAAGUCCA